rnacentral:rRNA from 1 species
ACGGAGGGUGCAAGCGUUAUCCGGAUUUAUUGGGUUUAAAGGGUGCGUAGGCGGCUAUUUAAGUCAGUGGUGAAAUCCUGCAGCUCAACUGUAGAACAGCCAUUGAAACUGAAUAGCUUGAGUGAUCUUGAGGUAGGCGGAAUGUGUAGUGUAGCGGUGAAAUGCUUAGAUAUUACACAGAACACCGAUUGCGAAGGCAGCUUACCAAGGGUUUACUGACGCUGAUGCACGAAAGCGUGGGGAUCAAACAGGAUUAGAUACCCUGGUAGUCCACGCCGUAAACGAUGAUAACUCGCUGUUGGCGAUACACAGUCAGCGGCUUAGCGAAAGCGUUAAGUUAUCCACCUGGGGAGUACGCUCGCAAGAGUG